UUCCAGACUCCUACGGGAGGCAGCAGUGGGGGAUAUUGCACAAUGGGGGGAACCCUGAUGCAGCGACGCCGCGUGGGUGAAGAAGCGCCUCGGCGCGUAAAGCCCUGUCAGCAGGGAAGAAAAUGACGGUACCUGAAGAAGAAGCCCCGGCUAACUACGUGCCAGCAGCCGCGGUAAUACGUAGGGGGCAAGCGUUAUCCGGAUUUACUGGGUGUAAAGGGAGCGCAGGCGGCACGGCAAGCCUGAUGUGAAAGCCCGCGGCCCAACCGCGGGACUGCAUUGGGAACUGCCGGGCUGGAGUGCCGGAGAGGUAGGCGGAAUUCCUAGUGUAGCGGUGAAAUGCGUAGAUAUUAGGAGGAACACCGGCGGCGAAGGCGGCCUGCUGGACCGUAACUGACGUUGAGGCUCGAAAGCGUGGGGAGCAAACAGGAUUAGAUACCCUAGUAC
rnacentral:rRNA from 1 species